GGAAGGGUGGGUGAGUCUGGCUGAAACCGCUCGACUCGAAAUCGAGUAGACAUACAAAAAUGUCUCGAGGGUUCAAAUCCCUCCCCUUCCGCCA
rnacentral:tRNA from 1 species